GUUUUCUUGCUCUGAGGCUAUAGUGUUAAGCUUAGUUUCUGAACAACUGAACCACACACACACACACACACACACACACACACACACACACUUGCCCUUGCUGUCUGUAAGACCUCAGCUCGACUCGGCUCUCGCCUCACUGGGCCUCUGGGAUCUUGGCCUUUGCAUUCCAGUGCUGGUCUGAGGGGCUGCGUCUCAUAUUCAAGAGGGAGGAAGUUUCUGCAGGGCAGGGAUUAUGCGCACUUUCUUUGCAUUGCAACCCCCCUACAAUCCCUCCCUCUCUCUCUCUCUCUCUCUCUCCCUCCCUCCCUUCCUCACUCCCUUAUUCCCUCUCUUCGGUCUGCUGCUUCCAUAAACCGAGCCUGCACUGAAAAUCCAGACCUGAACCACCUCCUCAGGUGGACUCAGCUUUUCAGCCUUUGUUCCAGCUGGAUCCCCCCCCACCCCACUACCACCACCACCCCUCCUUUCUCCCCUCUUCUUCACUCCCUGGCUUUCAGGGGUUGCUUUUCUCUUUUUUUUGCCUCACGUCAUGUGGUAAAGGCUUAGGGAUUCUCAUUGGAGAGGAGGACAGGGAAGCAGUCGAGCUGCACAGUGCCGAAGCCGGUGCUCUGGCGCGUGCUCUUUCACGCUCGUGGAUGGAGAACACCAUGAGUUUCCUCCAUCUCAUCCAACUUUCACCAGAUUCUACAGCCAGCCGAGGCGUGAAAAACGAAAGACUUAAAGGAUGCUUAUUCUCAUGCAGCACUUGUACAGUAUUUUAGUUGAGGUUGAAGAGAUGAUAAAGAGACCAAGGCGAGAUUGUGAUAAGGAAGCCAGCGGAAUGACCUCGGUUCCUCGGUAGGGGGUACACACGAGAGAUCUUUGGGAAGUUAUACUGUAACCCAGGCGAGCUUCAAGAAAUGUUCUGAAAGCUCUGUGGAGAAGAAAUCUGCAAAAUAGAGCUGAAGUAGUCGAGAAAAGGAAUACCUCAAGCUUUGCUGACAAGUUGAAAAGGACACGUGCAGUCAGAAAAGUUCAGAAUCUUGUGAAUCAUGUUACGAAAAGAAGCCUGCAGGAUGUGACUGGAGAAGUUUCUAAAGAAAAUAACGCAACAGAGUACGAGAAUCUGUAACUUUUUUUUAAUUAAUGUAGGAAAAUAAAAAGGAAACUGGGAAAUGACUGGGUAAGAGACUCCAACAGGGUUAGCUGGAAGAUGAAGACAAAGAUGAAGAAGAAGAAGAAGAAGAAGAAGAACUUUCUGCUCAUAAAAAUAAAAUAAAUGUGGUCAGACAAAUGUAAGAAAAAACCUUAAGUAUAGUUUACAUAAAAAUAUGAUAUUUCUCAACAAAAUGUGAUUUUGUCUUUUAUACUAAACUGAAUUUAAAGACGUUUCUAAUGACUAUAAGAUGUCGAGCGAGCGUGAUGGAUUCACGUGGUAUUAACGUAAAGCAGUUAGAGUGUGAAAUCUCAGCAGGAUGUUGGUGCUGAUGUGAGCUAGAGAAUAACUACAGUGUUCCAUUCAGGGGAUUAAAACAUGUCUGGUAGGACAGUGCAGUGGGGAUGAGUCUGCUACUAAACCCCAGUGUUAGGGGUUUGAUUCUCAGCUCAGGUGUGAACUCCGGGAUUGAAUUUCAAAAUCUAUUUUCUAAUAGUGUAUGAGAAGUAACAUAUUUCAUAACAACUCACUAAAGUCAAUCAAGCGGUUGUGUUUAGUUUCAUCAUUUGUGAGUAAAUGCGAUGAAUCUUUAUUAAACGCACACUCUGUGUAUUGAUAUAAACCUGUUCAAUAUAAAAUCUUUUCAAUAUCCUUCUGACCAAUCAGAAUGGAGAAUUCAGCAGCAGUGUGGUGAAAGUCUAGACUGAAAAUGGUUCAGUACGUGCAGUCUGUACUCAGACAAAC